rnacentral:rRNA from 1 species
GAUGAACGCUAGCUACAGGCUUAACACAUGCAAGUCGAGGGGCAGCAGGGAUUUAGCUUGCUAAAUUCGCUGGCGACCGGCGCACGGGUGCGUAACGCGUAUCCAACUUUCCCGUUACUCAGGGAUAGCCUUCCGAAAGGGAGAUUAAUACCUGAUGGUGUUUGAAAUUCGCAUGUUCUUCAAACUAAAGAUUUAUCGGUAACGGAUAGGGAUGCGUGACAUUAGAUAGUAGGCGGGGUAACGGCCCACCUAGUCUACGAUGUCUAGGGGUUCUGAGAGGAAGGUCCCCCCACACUGGAACUGAGACACGGUCCAGACUCCUACGGGAGGCAGCAGUGAGGAAUAUUGGUCAAUGGGGCGCGAGCCUGAACCAGCCAAGUAGCGUGAAGGAUGACUGCCCUACGGGGUUGUAAAACUUCUUUUGUUUGGGGAAUAAAUGAUACUACGUGUAGUAUUUUGCAUGUACCUUACGAAUAAGCAUCGGCUAAUUCCGUGCCAGCAGCCGCGGU